GGCGUGGCGCAGUUGGCUAGCGUACUUGCAUGGGGUGCAAGGGGUCGGAAGUUCGAGUCUUCUCGCC
rnacentral:tRNA from 1 species